UUCUGUGCAUUUGUGAAUUGCUGCACUCAUUUGUGGAUCGCGUUCUGUGCAUUUGUGGAUUUGAAACAUUUCUAACGUCAAGACGUGCACAAGAAUCCACAAAUAGGUGGACUCCGCCCACCGUCUACUCCAGCCAAUCAGACAACAAGCACACUGUGCUGACCAAUCGUGGCAUGAUUUCCCUUCAACCAAUCACAGAGUCUUUUCUAGAAACAUUGUGCAAAAGACCCAGACGGAGGAGGACUUUUAUUAUGACAGCGAGUAUCGCUCACUCAAAGCAAUGGCGGAAGAGCGCUAGUUUUGUACAAGUGUCUCGCUGUGUGAGGCAUGAAUCGUGUUGUUGUGGAGACAAUAGCACCAGAUUGUUACGCGGUGUGUUCAUGUGCGUCAUUAGAGGAAACCACAUCUCCACCUGCCUAUGAUCUGGCUAAGCUCUCAAAUAUAGCCAGGCACUCAUGCAUCUUCAUUCACAUGCCAUGCAACCAAGCUCAUAAAUACAGCUCUGGUCUAUCUCUCUUAAAGGAGCAUACCCUCAUCCUGUGCAGAGCUUCAUUAAAGGACUACUACCAAUAUUCACCAUUACCUUCAUCAACGACUGCUCUGCUAUCUAAGUUGUGCCUCUCAUUCAGAGUUCUGUGCGGUGUGUGCUACCUCAUAAAUACUGAAUGCUGGCUCUCUCCCAUCUAAUGUAUGUUCUCUUGUGUGCCUAAUAAACAGCUCAAGUUGG